CCUAAGGGAAGCAGCCAUGUUUUAAAGUCAACAGCUGGAUCUACCACUGAUGUUUUAGUAGAGAAAACAACUCCUGUUCAACCCCCUCCAGACUUGCUUGACCUGGGUGAACCAACCAUUAAAGAUGGUCCUUCAUCGGUUGAUCCAUUUAAGCAAUUGGAAGAGCUGCUUGACCCAACCCAACUUGGUUCAAGUGCUAAUCCUGGCA
rnacentral:misc_RNA from 1 species